CGGCUUGAACAAAACUGUCAGCGGCUAAAAUCGCAUCUAAACUUUGUUGGCUCUCAUGUCUGCUUUUAGUUUUAAUUUUUUUUUUUGAGGGGUGAAUGAAAAUUAGAAAAUUAACAGCAUGACGACCUCAGAGGUUCAAUUUAUUUUUCUAUUUUAACUUAUUUAUACUUCUUCAUUUCUCUUGUUAGAUAACAUUCCACUUUUUUAUAUUAAUUUUAAGUUCAAAUUACAAGUAGUCAUUCGUGGUCACUUGUAGUUGAGAAAAAAAAAUUGGCUAAGUUAAUCAUCCCAUUUUUUUAGUCAUAAAAUUGUUCCUUGUGCCAAUUGGAAAUUAGUCGUCGAAAAGUGAUGAUGUGAGAAAAAGCAUGGCAGGACUUUUUUUAUGGAAAUUUAAAUUCUCGAUAUUUCAAAAAGUACUGAGAUGUUCUUGGACCCCAAGAAUAAAAUGAAACAUAUUCACUUGCCAACUCUUUACAAAAUUUUCCUGUAAUUUCAUUGAAAUUUUUAGUUUUAUGGCUGAAAGAACAACAAAUAUUAAGGUUUAAAAGUGAUUGAAAAAGAAAAUGUUGAAGAAAACUGAGAAUUUCCUUAAAAUAGGACGGAAGCUUUUUUCUAUUCGGUUCAAUUAAUAAUAUAUAAUUCCAUUGCCUACAAAGCCAUUAUAAUCAAAUAACUUUAGUUCAGUGAUCGCUUAGCGAGUAA